UGGGGAAUAUUGCACAAUGGAGGGAACUCUGAUGCAGCAACGCCGCGUGCGGGAUGACGGCCUUCGGGUUGUAAACCGCUUUCAGCCAUGACGAAGCUUUUGUGACGGUAGUGGUAGAAGAAGCACCGGCUAACUACGUGCCAGCAGCCGCGGUGAUACGUAGGGUGCGAGCGUUGUCCGGAAUUAUUGGGCGUAAAGAGCUUGUAGGCGGUUUGUCGCGUCGAUAGUGUAAACACGCAGCUUAACUGUGUGCCUGCUGUCGAUACGGGCUGACUAGAGGAAGGUAGGGGAGAAUGGAAUUCCCGGUGGAGCGGUGGAAUGCGCAGAUAUCGGGAGGAACACCAGUGGCGAAGGCGGUUCUCUGGACCUUUCCUGACGCUGAGAAGCGAAAGCGUGGGUAGCAAACAGG
rnacentral:rRNA from 1 species